CCCUUGCGGCGUGCCUAAUACAUGCAAGUCGAACGCUUCUUUUCCCACCGGAGCUUGCUCCACCGGGAAAAGAGGAGUGGCGAACGGGUGAGUAACACGUGGGUAACCUGCCCAUCAGAAGGGGAUAACACUUGGAAACAGGUGCUAAUACCGUAUAACAAUCGAAACCGCAUGGUUUCGUUUUGAAAGGCGCUUUACGGUGCCGCUGAUGGAUGGACCCGCGGUGCAUUAGCUAGUUGGUGAGGUAACGGCUCACCAAGGCCACGAUGCAUAGCCGACCUGAGAGGGUGAUCGGCCACAUUGGGACUGAGACACGGCCCAAACUCCUACGGGAGGCAGCAGUAGGGAAUCUUCGGCAAUGGACGAAAGUCUGACCGAGCAACGCCGCGUGAGUGAAGAAGGUUUUCGGAUCGUAAAACUCUGUUGUUAGAGAAGAACAAGGGUGAGAGUAACUGUUCACCCCUUGACGGUAUCUAACCAGAAAGCCACGGCUAACUACGUGCCAGCAGCCGCGGUAAUACGUAGGUGGCAAGCGUUGUCCGGAUUUAUUGGGCGUAAAGCGAGCGCAGGCGGUUUCUUAAGUCUGAUGUGAAAGCCCCCGGCUCAACCGGGGAGGGUCAUUGGAAACUGGGAGACUUGAGUGCAGAAGAGGAGAGUGGAAUUCCAUGUGUAGCGGUGAAAUGCGUAGAUAUAUGGAGGAACACCAGUGGCGAAGGCGGCUCUCUGGUCUGUAACUGACGCUGAGGCUCGAAAGCGUGGGGAGCAAACAGGAUUAGAUACCCUGGUAGUCCACGCCGUAAACGAUGAGUGCUAAGUGUUGGAGGGUUUCCGCCCUUCAGUGCUGCAGCUAACGCAUUAAGCACUCCGCCUGGGGAGUACGACCGCAAGGUUGAAACUCAAAGGAAUUGACGGGGGCCCGCACAAGCGGUGGAGCAUGUGGUUUAAUUCGAAGCAACGCGAAGAACCUUACCAGGUCUUGACAUCCUUUGACCACUCUAGAGAUAGAGCUUCCCCUUCGGGGGCAAAGUGACAGGUGGUGCAUGGUUGUCGUCAGCUCGUGUCGUGAGAUGUUGGGUUAAGUCCCGCAACGAGCGCAACCCUUAUUGUUAGUUGCCAUCAUUUAGUUGGGCACUCUAGCAAGACUGCCGGUGACAAACCGGAGGAAGGUGGGGAUGACGUCAAAUCAUCAUGCCCCUUAUGACCUGGGCUACACACGUGCUACAAUGGGAAGUACAACGAGUCGCGAAGUCGCGAGGCUAAGCUAAUCUCUUAAAGCUUCUCUCAGUUCGGAUUGUAGGCUGCAACUCGCCUACAUGAAGCCGGAAUCGCUAGUAAUCGCGGAUCAGCACGCCGCGGUGAAUACGUUCCCGGGCCUUGUACACACCGCCCGUCACACCACGAGAGUUUGUAACACCCGAAGUCGGUGAGGUAACCUUUUUGGAGCCACNCCGCCCUAAGNUGGGAUACANCAUGGGG
rnacentral:rRNA from 1 species